rnacentral:tRNA from 1 species
GGUUUUGGCUCAGUGGUAGAGCGCUCACUUUGCAUGCGUGAGGCCCUGGGUUCAAUCCUCAACACCA